UAUUUCAGUUGGUAGAGCAUGGUGUUUGCAACACCAGGGUUGUGGGUUCGAUUCCCAU
rnacentral:tRNA from 1 species